UGGGGAAUAUUGGACAAUGGGCGAAAGCCUGAUCCAGCCAUGCCGCGUGAGCGAUGAAGGCCCUAGGGUUGUAAAGCUCUUUCAACGGUGAAGAUAAUGACGGUAACCGUAGAAGAAGCCCCGGCUAACUUCGUGCCAGCAGCCGCGGUAAUACGAAGGGGGCUAGCGUUGUUCGGAAUUACUGGGCGUAAAGCGCACGUAGGCGGAUAUUUAAGUCAGGGGUGAAAUCCCGGGGCUCAACCCCGGAACUGCCUUUGAUACUGGGUAUCAUGAGUUCGAGAGAGGUGAGUGGAAUUCCGAGUGUAGAGGUGAAAUUCGUAGAUAUUCGGAGGAACACCAGUGGCGAAGGCGGCUCACUGGCUCGAUACUGACGCUGAGGUGCGAAAGCGUGGGGAGCAAACAG
rnacentral:rRNA from 1 species